rnacentral:snoRNA from 2 species
AAAUAGCAGUGAUGAUUGAAUACACAGCUUUAAGCCAGUUCUGCUUCAGAAAAUUCUUGAUUGAUAGAGCUGUUAUUUACCCUGAGCUAUUA